GGGGUUGUGGCUCAGUGGUAGAGUGCUUACCUAGCAUGUGUGAGGCACUGGGUUCGAUUCUCAGCACCACA
rnacentral:tRNA from 1 species